GAGCUUUCCCCCUUGUUUUCUCUCUGGAGAGGAAGGGCUGUAUGUUUUUCAAGCUUGGCAGCCCUGUUAGCAAGGCUCUCCCCCAUAGAUAAAUGACAUAGUACAUUGAUGCUGUGCCUUCCCAGCCCUGCACACACCUGGGCUCUGCCUUCCCACAGCCUCCAUCUCAGCAGGUUCCUGAUUGCUGCCAUUCAUACAUGCAGAGAGCGGCCGGACGCCCAAGCAGGAGCCGGUCUUCAGGAGGGUCACCAUGGAAGACAGCGUCAUCUAACAUCUGCACCACACUGCCCCCGCUCCUCACUGCCGCGGUUUGCCCAUCCUGCCACGGGAUGGCCCAACAGGAGAGGCCCAGCCACCAGCCUCGAGAGAAUCCUCAGCAAACCCUUUCACCCUCACGGAGAAACCAGCCUGGCCAGGCUUUCUGCUGCACUGAGGACCACACCUUCUUGCUUGUCUGGUUUGCUGCUUUUUUUAAGAUGAGCAGAACUGGCAAAAAGAAAUUCUUUUGUAGUUCUGUCUGCUCCUAAUGUUGGCUUCUUGACUGGAAAACACAGACAUGAGCGUGCUUGCCUCACUUCCCGGACCCUGAUCUGCUGCAACCAGGUCCCUGCUAUCAAUACAGGGGUCAAGGAAGGAAGGAAAAAAUAUACAAAGAAAUGACCCUGGUGCCAGAAGGUGAAUUGCCAUCACUUGUAAAUAGGGAUUGACCAGCACACGUACCUAGCAAAGGCUUCUGGGAAAUGUCGCUUGGAUUUUAUUGUCAUGUGUAAAUAGAGAUAUUUUUUGUAAAAAUAAGCCUUAGUUUCUUGCGGAUCACAAUUAUCCCUCAGCUCAGCUGGGGAUAAAUGGACGCAGAGCCUGGCAAGGGUCCUGCAGCCCAGCCGCACUGCGGCAGCAUGGGGGACAGCCAAAGGAUGGAGGGCAGAGGACUUAGUAGGAGUUUCUCCUUUACUCCUACCAACAGAAAGGACUUUCUGGCCUGUGUUCUCCCCACGGAGCUAUACCCACUGAGGGCUUGGGUACCUUGGUGCAGGUGUGGGCGGGAUGGGCAACAUCAUCAUGAGGGAUACAAACCGUGUUGGUGUGGUUCCCCUGAGUCUUUUAAUAUUAAUUAAGAAACAGAAAAAAGGAAAAAAAUACACCAGAUCCUGAAUGGCACUGGGCCAACUCUUUGGCUCAGUGCUGCGAUGCCACGCAACAAACAGGGUUGUGCUUCAGCACAGGUUUUUGAAGAGUAUGGCAACAGUGGAGGAGCCAUGAGGUUUCACCUUCACCCCGCACAAUUCAAAGGCUUCUUCUUCCUUUUUUACUCUGAGUCCGACUGCAUGGAUUCAUGCAGCAGAUGGAAAAUACUUACCAGACUGAAAAAAAAAAAGGAGAUUUCUGAAAAAAUGACCCAGAAUAACUUCCUCUAGACAUAAAAGGCUGUCACCUUUUCUUUUUUGUUGUUUUUUUUUUUUCCCAGGGAGAAAAGUAGGAAAGAUUUCUUCUCAGAAAGAGUGCUGAGAUGUUGGCACAGGCUGCCCAGGGAGGUGGUGGAAUCACCAUCCCUGGAGGUGUUCAGGAGAUAUGGAGAUGUGGCACUGAGGGAUGUGGUCACUGGGCAUGGUGGGGAUGGACUUGUGGUUGGAAUUGGUGAUCUUAGAGGUCUUUUCCAACCAUAAUGAUUCUAUGAUUCUACAAUUCUUUGUAGAUCAGGAAAAAAAAUGAAUACUUCCCUGCUUUGUGCCAGAAAGGUUCUGGAAAUGAGCCAGUAAAUUAAGAAGAAAAGAAAAAAACCUCCCAGGCGUUAUGAAAGAUUUCAGCCCAAGGAGAUGAGCCUAUGCUUUCUAUAGCCCAAAAGUUUAGUGUUGAAUCCUGGCCUGGGGAAAUGUAGGGUGCUGCAUAGGGUGAAAGCCAGCUGUGAUUGAAAGCAGAAAUGCCCUGGGUUUUUUUUUCAGGGUUUGUUUUUUGUUUUUGUUUUUUUUUGUUUGUUUGUUUUUUUUCCCCAGUAAAUCACUGGAAAGCAGCUGGGUUGCUUUUUUUCCUCAUCGGAGCCCUCCCUAUGAGUUUUUAUCCGCAGAUAACUCUGUCCUCCUGCACCCAAAGCUUUUGGUGUGAUGUCUAGAGGAGUUAUUUUACAGCCAGCAGUGGCAAUGGGUGCACUUUGACACUUUGUCACUGGUGGUGACAUCUCAGAGCCCAGCCCAAGUCCUAACAAAAAUGACAAAUCCCAUCCAGCCCCUCCACCCUGAUGGCACGCAGGUUGGCAGCUGCAGACAUGAACCACCAUGACAUGGGAUAAUGCAACCAGCCACAGCUGGAGGGAUCCGAGAUUUAAUUGGCAAAGCCAGUGCAUCCCAUUAGCACCCCCAAGUCAUGCUGCUCCCCUGGCAGAGGUUUGGUUCAAGCCAGCCCCAAGUCAACAGUGAUUUACGUUUCACUCGCUUUGCGUAUCUUCAGUGGACUUCCUUACUCCUCAGGCAUGGAAUGAAUCUUAAUACAUUGUAAUUACUGUACUCCUGUUGAUGAAACAGUAUGAAAAGCUAUCACGGAGAGCA
ensembl:lncRNA